CCAGGAUUCCAUCCCAGGAAAUCCCCUCCAGCUGCCUCUGCUCAUGAGAGACUCGCCCAGUCUCCUUGUCUCUUCCAGCUCUAACUUUCCUCUUAUUCAUCUCAAUUAGGUGGAGCUAAAUGUUCAAGUUUUCAGGAACCAGUAGUGAGGACUUGUUCCCAAGGAUGCAAGGGUGAGCUGGGUCUGAGAAACCAACCAGAAGGGUUGCCCAGAAGCACUGGGUAUGGAUCAGAGACUUGGUCACCCCAGCAGCUCUGACUUGGCCUCCAGUGUUUGACCCCGCCCCUUUGAAGCACCAUCCAGCACACUCUGCUGGGGUUUUAUGAUGACAUUAAACAAACCUCAACUGCCUUGGCCACCCUCCAGUGUCCACCCUACUCCCUAUCUUGUUAGCUGUCCAAGAGUUGACAGUCCAGAUGUGCAGAUGUGAUGAGCAGGACAGGGAGAAACAGCCUCAAGGUGAGCUGCCUGGCCUUGGGAAGAAAGAGUGGAGACCACAAAGGCAGUGUGAAUACGGACUGAAAUUCAUAUGAGAGCUGGCUUAUGGUGACAUAUUAUUAGAAGAGAUGUCCUCUCCUGAGGAGGUGCCAGAACCACAUUCCGGAGACUCCGGAAUCACCUGCCGGGCAUGCCGGAACCACCUCUCAGACGUGCCAGAACCAUGUGCCGGACACGCCGGAACCACCUGCCGAGUAUGCCGGAACCACCUUCUCCACUCCCCAGAACCACCUGCUGGACACGCCGGGACCACCUGCUUGACUCGCCAGAACCACCUGCCGGACACGCCAGAAUCGCCAGCCGGCUACGCCACAACCACUUGUCGGACACUCCAGAAUCACCUGCCGGGCAUGAAGCACAACCUCUCAGAACUUGGGUCCUAAGAUUUACCUCCUGUGCCCUCUUCUAUCCCAUAAAACCAAAUUAGAAGCUCAAGUUCACUAAGUUUCUUAGAAACUCUUGGCGAAGUUCCAGCUGUUUCACUUAACUCACAGGAUUCCUGUUUUCAAUUCAGUUUGGAGAUUACACAUAACUUUUUUUUUUUUGCCAGCUCAAUGAGGAACUUAAAAAAAAAAUUUUAAAAUAUUCCAUACAACAUUAUCAUUGUUUCGAUCAGGAGUGGCAUUCAGCAUACCUAAUAUAAUCUGGCAAGUUAUACAGCCCCACUUCUUUAAUCUUUAGCAAAUAGCCCAGCGCUGCUCAAGAGAACUUUCCCUGAAGGUGGAAAUGUUCCAUACCUCCACUGGCCAGUAUGGACUCCACUAGCGACAUGUGGCUGUUGAGCAUGUGAAAUAUGACUCCUUAGAUUAAAGAAGUGAAUUUUUAUUUUCAUUUAAUUCUAAUCAUUUUAAAUCUAAAUAACCAGUUGUGGUUAAUGGCUACCGUAUCUGAUAGCUGAGAGACAGACCUUUAUUCACCCAAACAUAAGUGCU
rnacentral:lncRNA from 1 species